GUGAACGCUGGCGGUAGGCCUAACACAUGCAAGUCGAACGGCAGCACAGUAAGAGCUUGCUCUUACGGGUGGCGAGUGGCGGACGGGUGAGGAAUACAUCGGAAUCUACUUUUUCGUGGGGGAUAACGAAGGGAAACUAACGCUAAUCCCCCAAACGACCUACGGUGGAAACCAGGGGAUCUUCGAACCUGGCGCGAUGGAAGAGGCCGAUGUCGGAUUAGCUAGUUGGCGGGGUAAAGGCCCACCAAGGCGACGAUCCGUAGCUGGUCUGAGAGGAUGAUCAGCCACACUGGAACUGAGACACGGUCCAGACUCCUACGGGAGGCAGCAGUGGGGAAUAUUGGACAAUGGGCGCAAGCCUGAUCCAGCCAUACCGCGUGGGUGAAGAAGGCCUUCGGGUUGUAAAGCCCUUUUGUUGGGAAAGAAAAGCAGCAGGUUAAUACCCCGCUGUUCUGACGGUACCCAAAGAAUAAGCACCGGCUAACUUCGUG
rnacentral:rRNA from 1 species